AAAUGGAGAUCUAACCUGGUGAACACUGGGAAAAUAUUUGCUCAUUUACUUAGUAAAAGGCCACAGUUGCUUUUCAUUGGAUGGAAAGGAAGGUUAUGGAAAGUAAAGUAGGCUCUGAAAGCAGAAACAGUUCACUGGUUGUCUACCCUUAGCAAAUCGGGCUACUUGAAUAGCAAAAAGGUUUGGCAAGGUUUUGCUUUUUGUGUUUUUUUUUUAAUAAAAACUUAAUCAAAGGGCUGGAAGACGCUGAAACUGCUGACGGGUUUCCCUGCCUCUCCCAAAGGUGUCAGCAUCAGUGUUCUGCUAUGCUCUAAGAGGCAGGUUGUCUGGUCUUACAGCCCUCAGUGAUUUGCAGAACGAAUUUUAACUCAGUUCCCUGCCAAUUGGUGCCUGUGUAACUGCAUAAGGGCGCCUGCUACCUUGCUUGGCUGAGGACUAAUCCAGCCUGGGUUUCCCACAGGCAGCUCCAGGUCAGCGGCAAUUCGGCAGCGGGUGCUUCAGUCACUCCGGGUCUUCGACAGCAAUUCAGCGAUCUUCCAAAAUGGGCUGAAGAAACAAUUUUGGACAUGGACAAUCCAAACACUAGAGAAAAUAUUCUGAAUGGAAAAGAAGGUUGGGGGAAUAAUGAAAGGAGGAGGAAGACUGAUAUUGGGUCUUAGAACUGAGAACCUAUUUCCACAAGAAAAUAUCCUUAUGAAUGUCUCAUUCCCUGAGAGGCUAGGCCAAAUCCACCACAAAGGUUAAGCAACGGCAUUAUUGCAAACCCCGAAGUACAGAUUUCAACCAAUCCACAAAGUCUAAAAAUCCAAUAGCAAGAGAUACAGUGUGCAGUGCACAAUAUAGCUCAGCUGAUGGACAUAAAGGCCCAUUCAGCAUAUGCCUCCAUAUAAUCCUUUCAAAGGAUUAAACUCAGUCUUCAGUUUCAUUUUAAAGAAAUUUCCAAGAGUAGCCAUAGUCAAUACAUGAAUCCCAUUAUUCAUUUAUCGUCCAUACCCUUAUGGAACUUUAGAAAAUAUUUAGAUCAGACACUUGCACAUAGGUUCAAGCAUAUCCCUAGAAAUAUCUAAAAUUCACUUGCAACGCAACCCAUUCAGUACAAAACUGUGUUACCUCCCUACUAACGCUUAGACAUGCAAGUAGUCCUGUUGAGCCUAUUCAUGUGCCUCGAGUUAGAUACAUUUAAAGGACUAGAGUCCAGUCGCACUCCCUUUGACAUCAAUAGUAAAAUUCCCAUUGGCUUCAAUAGGAGUAAGAUUAGGCCCUGAAUAAUUAGCUUCUUUAAUCUCCUCUGAUAUGUGUGAGAGGAGGUAGUUGCACACUUGGAGAGUUGAUAGUCCAAAUAAUAGUCCUGUGAU